rnacentral:rRNA from 1 species
CAGUCGCCACGGUAAUACGUAGGUGGCAAGCGUUGUCCGGAAUUAUUGGGCGUAAAGGGCGCGUAGGCGGUUUGACAAGUCUGAUGUGAAAUCUCUGGGCUCAACCCAGAGUCUGCAUCGGAAACUGUCGAGCUUGAGUAUGGGAGAGGUGAGUGGAAUUUCCGGUGUAGCGGUGAAAUGCGUAGAGAUGUGGAGGAACACCAGUGGCGAAGGCGACUCUCUGGUCUGUAACUGACGCUGAGGAGCGAAAGCGUGGGGAGCGAACAGGAUUAGAUACCCCCGUAGUCCCUGUCUCUUAUAC